GUCUCUGCAGUGUAAUGGAUACCACGUUAGACUUCUAAUCCGAAGGUCGUGGUUUCGAAUUCCACCUGGGAUG